UUUCUUACUAAAAUUAAAGGAGAGCUUUCAUCAAAAGUAAUAUGUCUAAGACUUUGUCGAACUUCAGAGUGGUCGACCUCUUGUAAAAUUCUCUUUGCUACUCCUUCUAUAUUUAAAUCAGGAGAAAGUUGCAUUAGAGCUGUCUCAAAUUCGCCACCACCUAUAUAUUUACACCCAUCGAUCCAUCUGAGAUCUGAAUCUGUAAAGUUCCAGCACCUAAGUUUAAUCCAAUCAAAAAUUAGCUCUUCAAGUUUAUCCGUUUUUUUGUGAGAUAUCAUAUAAUUUGAUUUCUCUGUUGGUAUCUUCUGAUUGAUAUUUCUUUCAGAAAUAGACCAAGUUGGAGGAUUAUAAAUGCCUCCUCCAAUCGAAUUUGAAUCUGCAAGAUCUAGUAGGUUUCUGAAAUCAGUUCUAUCAGUAUUACAACACUGAAUUCCUGCAAAUCCAAUACUUCUUUCCCGUGAAAUGAGAGAUUUUGCUACAGAAAAAAUCAUUGAAGAAAUAGAAGUUUUCUUUAAUUCUUUCUUUGGUGAAUUAUCUUCAUUUGAAAAUGAAGGUGAAAUCAUCUGUUGUAUUUCUUGGUCUUUCUCUAUGAUUCUUUUCUGAACUGAAUCUAUUCCUGACCUGAAAGUCUCAGUUUCUUGCAAAUAAUUGUUAUUGUUAGAAUCUGUAUAACUUCUACUUUGGCAACAAUUCUCAAAGAUCAUUCCUCCAUUGUUCUCUUUAUCAUCUUGAAAUCUGGAAAAUGCACCUUUUCUAAGAGAGUAUAACUCCUCCUUAACUUCAUCCACUGCUUUAGGGAGUAAGAAGUUUAUGAAUGCCGGGCUUAGUCUCACUCUGAGUACAUGAACCUGGAUUUGAAUUGAUUCAAAGACCCUUUCUAAUCUUUGGCUUAAUAACAAAUUAUUUUCUGUUAUCAUACUUUCGUCAAAAACCACAAAUAGAGGAAUUACUUCCUCCUCUAUUUGACAGCUUAAGGCAUCAACAGAUCCAGAAAUCUUAUCUAAGUUAAACAAAAUAUCUAUUCCUGAAAUUUCCUUCCAGGAAAUAUCCUUGACGGCUUCACCUUCAGCUACCUUUAGCUUAUCUGUAAGUAAUUUCUUUCCUAUCAUCUUCGCAAAUGUUAUAUUUCUGUCCACUUCUGCGAAGAAAAGCAUUGCUGACAAUAUUGUCUCUCUAACUACUAAGGAACUACUUCUCUCAAGUAAUAGAUGAUUAGUUAAAUGUAAUCCUGUGAUAAAUGUUUGAAUAGCAUUUUCAAAGACUUGAUCUUUUUCAAAAAUAUC
rnacentral:antisense_RNA from 1 species